rnacentral:rRNA from 1 species
AUACGGAGGGUGCAAGCGUUGUUCGGAAUUACUGGGCGUAAAGCGCGCGUAGGCGGACCAGUCAGUCAGGGGUGAAAUCCCGGGGCUCAACCCCGGAACUGCCUUUGAUACUGCUGGUCUUGAGUUCGAGAGAGGUGAGUGGAAUUCCGAGUGUAGAGGUGAAAUUCGUAGAGAUUCGGAGGAACACCAGUGGCGAAGGCGGCUCACUGGCUCGAUACUGACGCUGAGGUGCGAAAGCGUGGGGAGCAAACAGGAUUAGAAACCCUAGUAGUCC